rnacentral:lncRNA from 1 species
CUCUCUCCUAACAAGGUUUCAGCCAUUUAUUGUCCCCUUCCGACGGACUAUCAUCGUUUCCCACUGGACCUUUAGCAAAUAAAAAUCAAACAGACUAAAAAAUAUUGUUUUGUAACUUUUACUAAGAUUAAAUGAAUUCUAGUGAUAUAUGAAAACUUAAAAACAUACCUAAUACAAUGCUCUAACCACCAACACCUAAGAACGUACAAACAAAAAAAAGACGUACAAACAAAAAAUGUUACAACUUAUUAACAGC